AUGGGUGAAGCUCAGUGGUAGAGCACAUGGUUUGUAUGUGUGAGGCUCUGGGUUCAAUCCCCAGUAUCUACA
rnacentral:tRNA from 1 species